rnacentral:tRNA from 1 species
GCCACCUUAGCUCAGUUGGUAGAGCACUUGACUUGUAAUCAUGAGGUCUUCGGUUCGAUUCCGGAAGGUGGCU